ACCACAAGAAGGCGCUGCUCCCUUCAGUUGGUGGUUUGACACAAAUUCAUCUACUAUUUCUGAGCACAUGUCUCCUUUUUUAGAGCCUGUGAGAUGCUCUUGCAGGGCAGUUUGUCUUGCUAAACACAUGAACCCAGAUUUUCUAAAAGAUUCUACCAAAGGAUCAAGAAACUAGAGGAACGGGCCUCUCAGCUUUAAGUGUAUCCCCAGAUGAAACCUUCCUCUGCUUCUCCACAAGCCAUGCUGUUUGCUUCCUACUCAGGACUUGUAAUCCUGCUGAUACUGAGAGGGACCACUGGAGACACAGUGACCCAGACAGAAGGUUCUGUUACCCUCCGUGAGGGGACACCGCUGACCCUGAACUGCACCUACCAGAGCAGCUACUCAGUUUUUGUUUUCUGGUAUGUCCAGUACCAAAACAAAGAGCCUGAGCUCCUCCUGAAGAGCUCAUCAGAAAACCAGAGGGUAGAGCAUCGCGGUUUUCAGGCCGAUCUUAAGAGUGACAAGUCCUUCCACCUGGAGAAACGCUCAGUGCAAAUGUCAGACUCGGCCGUGUACUACUGCGUGCUGGGAGGCACAGUGAGAACAACAGGAGGGGGAGCUGAGCGCAAACCCAGAGCGGCACAGGAGGCACCUGGAAGUGGGCAGCCUGGAGGGCAGAAUGAUGACUUAUUUCUCUCCGGUCAGUGUCCUGGGCUGGGCAUAACUAAAGGGAAGGAAAAAAUUCCAGCUCGGAUGGCUCCUCACUCAGGAACCCUGGUGCUACUUUAAGCUAGGAAUGGAAAGAGGCAAUCUAAGUGAAAACUUAGAUUAUAGAUAUGUCUAUAAAUAGAAUCCUAUAGUACAUGGCUUUUUGUGUCUGGCUUCUUCACAUAGCAUCAUCUUCUCAACGUAUAUCCAUAGAUCAGCACUUACUUACUUCUAUGGCUGCACAAUAAUCCAUUGUAUGGACAGCCCAUACUUUCUUUAUCCGUUCAUCCAUUGA